GUAACACGUGGCUAACCUGCCCUUGAAGUAGGGGAUAACACUUGGAAACAGGUGCUAAUACCGUAUAACAACCAAAACCACCUGGUUUUGGUUUAAAAGAUGGCUUCGGCUAUCACUUUAGGAUGGACCCGCGGCGUAUUAGCUUGUUGGUAAGGUAACGGCCUACCAAGGCAAUGAUACGUAGCCGACCUGAGAGGGUAAUCGGCCACAUUGGGACUGAGACACGGCCCAAACUCCUACGGGAGGCAGCAGUAGGGAAUCUUCCACAAUGGACGAAAGUCUGAUGGAGCAACGCCGCGUGAGUGAUGAAGGGUUUCGGCUCGUAAAACUCUGUUGUUGGAGAAGAACAGGUGUGAGAGUAACUGUCCACAUCUUGACGGUAUCCAACCAGAAAGCCACGGCUAACUACGUGCCAGCAGCCGCGGUAAUACGUAGGUGGCAAGCGUUGUCCGGAUUUAUUGGGCGUAAAGCGAGCGCAGGCGGUUUCUUAGGUCUGAUGUGAAAGCCUUCGGCUUAACCGGAGAAGUGCAUCGGAAACCAGGAGACUUGAGUGCAGAAGAGGACAGUGGAACUCCAUGUGUAGCGGUGAAAUGCGUAGAUAUAUGGAAGAACACCAGUGGCGAAGGCGGCUGUCUGGUCUGUAACUGACGCUGAGGCUCGAAAGCAUGGGUAGCGAACAGGAUUAG
rnacentral:rRNA from 1 species